UCAAUACAUUGGACUACAUAU
rnacentral:miRNA from 2 species